UUGUAUUUUGUGGAUAGAGCCGCUUACAUCUGUGUCCUGAUAGAGAGAGGAAGAUUCCUGCAGUAUGAUUUCUGCAGGACAGAUACCCAGAGAUGCCCUGGACAGAUGUCCCUCUGAGCCCAGUGCCAUUUCAUCAGCCUUUGCACGGAGGGACAAUACCAAGCACGGGCGAGCAUGCAACUACAUCUUACAACACCCAGCUCCUAUCAUCAGACUACUUCCUGAGCAGAAGCAAAUUGACAACAGACAUGGACAACACUUUGCUGAAGCCCCAAUUCUACAUGUCCCUGGAAGAAAGGAAGGAUCAAGACAUAGAGGAUGUUGAUGGGGUCCCAUCACCUCUCCACCUUCGUCGAGCAAUGGUGGAUUAUCCUUGGAAAUUAAAAUGGCUCUAUAACAUCACUUUUGAUAGAGAACAAAAUUUUAAGAGCUGAUGAUGGACAGAGUCUCACAACACCACAGACCUCUCCAUGGAAGAUUAAACACAAAGAGAAGUUGGGGGCAUGGGAAGACUAUGGGAGGAAGGACACAGAACAAAGAAGCUGUGUCAGCAGACAAAGUGAUUUAUGUGUGCAUAACUUCAGCAGUGGAAUGUCAUCUCGGAGGUCUUUAAUUGGCAGACUUUGGGGACCACAGAGGGAGAUGACAGAGUGUGCUCUGAAGAAAUAAGAGUGUCGGCUGCCAUUCCCAGUGCGGCCCCACAGAGGAGGUCUCAUAAAUCUCGGGAGUAGUGGGGGGAUAGCAGUCAACUUUUAAACUUUUUAUUAACCUGAUAUCUGCUAAUGAAACACGAAGAGGAUCAUCUUCAACCUUAGCCGAUUCGGAUCUCACGACACGUCAAAUGACUGCCUACGGUUUUUGAGACAAUCAAAUGCAGAUCUUCUGGUAACUUCUACUCAAAGACACCAACGCUGCGAUUUGCAGUCUUUAUGACUUCAAUGAGUCACCCAGUCCUGUCUUGCUAUGUGGAAUAUGAUUGUAUGUUUUUAAGAAUGUCAACAGAUGUGUUUUCUGUUCAUGAACCUCAUCUCGGGCCUUGGAUAAAGGGGCCAUUUUGAAAUGGAAUCACAGCUGCUUUUGGCCUCAGGAUGCGGCUCAGAGAAGUCUAUCCAUGCAAGGUGUGACUGGCCUUUUAGGAGGCAGGGUGAGGUUCUGGAAGGAAUGGAGAGUGACCUCUGUGACAAGAUGACUCCGGUAUCUGUGUCACUUGUAGGAAAGUUGAAGUCUUUCUGAAUGAUGGAUGUCUCUGCGAACAUCUGUGCUAACAGUGUCCAAGAGGUCAAGUGCCAGGCCUUAAACUCUAGCACCUGUGCUAGAGCCAACCCCAAACUGUGGGCCAACCUAUUUCGUGGGCCAUUGGGCUUUUGAGAAAAGACUGACAAUUUACAUCUUUGCAUUUAUUUUCAAAAUUGCAAUGUCUUUAGGCAAGGGCUCCCCAGAAGCAAACCCCAUUGCAGUAGCAGAGUGUAGAGUUAUUUCCUGGAGUUAUGAUCCAGGAGCCAUCAACUCUCACCAGCUCCCAAGCUGGGAGUGGAGGAUCCUGAGCCCAUUCUGAUUCACGCUAGAAUAUUGGCUGGCUUGGUCAUGACCUCAUGUGGGUCUUUCGAAGGCAAUCACGGGCUCUGUGAGUUCAGGGGUGUAGCAGUCCACUCUGUUUUGCAGUGUCCUCCCAGACCUCUGGCUUUCUACCAUCUUUUCAUCUUCUCUUCUGCAAUGAUUCCUGUGUGAGCACAAUAUAUGCCCCCCGCCAUGUGUGUGUGAUAUAGAUGUCCCAUUUGAGGCUGAAUAUUCCGUAGACAUGUAUUGAGAGUGUAUUUUACAUUGGUCCUAUUUUACUAGAGAGCCCAAAGCCUGACUAAGCCAGGCAGUCAUUAGGAUCUAGUUUUCAUCUAGCUUGGGAAGAGAAAGAAAUUGAUGGACAGCUCUUUCUUGGACAGCUGAGGACUCUUGGGGGCAGGGUAGACCAGGGCGAAUCAUUCUACCCGAGGAAUGCAUUGCUUUUGUACUUACCCACCAACCCCCAUGUGCCACUGUUGGAGUCUGCUCUGGGCUAUAAACUCUCUGGUGCAUGCUUGCAGGACAGCUCUUUUGCUACAUGCACUAGAAUGUGAGCAACAGAGAGAUACCCGAGACUCCAAGGCAUGCAUGCUGUGAAGGAUGCAAUUCAUUGCUUGAGGUCUUGAGUGAUCCUUUUGCAAAGCAACCGACAAAAUUUGGAGGUAGGUACACUUUAAAGUUUUGUUUAUAGUCUGUCCAAGGACAAAGAAAUGGAUGGACCUGGCCAUCACCAAAAGCCAAUUGGACUGAAGCCUAGGAGAUCCUGUCAUUAGAGAAGUGCCAGCAUGGUAGAGGACUUUUUAAACAUACAGAUUCUGCAAGGCCCAUUGUCUCCUCUUAAGAGUCAUUUCAAUGAAGACCAACAGCCCCGUGCUGGGUGCUGGUGUGUCCCAGAAGACUAAGAUGGAAUCUUUGUCUUUGAGAAUCCAUAGUGUUUCUGGAAAAGAGCCACCCAUACCAUUAGCUAGAUUAUAAACAGUGUAGUCUGGCCGUGCGGAUGAGAGAAAGAAGUGGCACUGACUGCUGGGACACCCGGGGCCUUGGGCUCUAUUUAUCCAGCCAGAACAUUCUAAUGCAGGGCGCAUCCCUGCCUUCCUGAACAAAACCAAAAGCAGCGAGGAGUGCUUUCUUUUAAGAAGGGAAAAGUGGGUGGUGAUGGAAUCAGAGACGGAAACAAGCUGAACAUCUGGAAAGAAGGGCUCUCCGGAAGAACAGCCCCUCCCUCGAGAUCCCACCGGUCCACAGCAGCCUCAGAGUGUCAGAGGAUUAGGUCUGGAUUCUUGUAGUAAUUAAUAGCACUUAAGUUCCUGGGUAGUCAGUUUUGAUUAAGCAAACAUUAAAUUAAUCCAAUCUGCAAACGCAUGGCCGGGUGGAAGCAGCAGCUGGAUGGACAGAGGGAUGCGUCCUCAUUGGAUUGCGGGCCACCUCCGAGUAGUUACAGCUGGAUCAAUACGGCUCCUAGAGCUAUAAUAAAAUGCCUUCGACAUGCUCAUCUGUGGCUGAGAACAGUACACACAUUGAUUUCCUGGCCUGAUAUAACCCAUUUACCUAGUCAGCUACUCCAUUCAGGAAGGUGGAGGGGUCCCAAGACCCAAGGGACCAAUGAUGCCUGCAACGAUGGUAGCGGAUGCUUGGGAAAUGUCUUAAUCGGCAGCAUGACUCCUCCGUUAGGAAGACAUGUUUCUUUGUAAGGUAAAGGCCUCCUCGGAGUCCUGCUGGCUUCAUCUGGGGAAACACUGGAUAUUGAGGAGUGUGUGUGUGUGUGUGUGUGUGUGUGUGUGUGUGUGUGUGUGUGUUGCUGUUUCUGUAUGUCAGGAUCUGCCCUUCUCAUGAUUUAAAACGCCAAUGUUAUACAAUUGUCUUAGCUUCUUGGAGGGCAAAGGGGCAUGUGUUAAUACAAGCUCAUUCCAGGAGUGUCUUCUACUCCAAUUUGGGUGAACUGGAGGGAGGCACAGAGACUGCCCCAGAUCGCUCACAUCAGAAAGAUGCCCCUCUUCACUGAUUUUUCUGUGACAGUGUUGAAUGGAAAGGGAAUGGUUACUGUUUGAUACAAAUUAAUGAGAGUGUGGUGUAUCACAUGUGGUGUCAAAUGACAAGGCCAACACAUGAAAACCAGUCAAUGAGAUCUGCCUCUCUCCACUGAAAUAGUUGUCAUCUCUACAGACUUUCUGAAACGAAGCUAUUAUUACUGUCCAAAGCCUUUUAGACCGAUCCCUUGGGCUCUGCCAUUAAGAAACUGCUUGCUGGGAAUGGAGAGAGGACUCACGUGUUAAGAGCAGGUAUGACUUUAGCAGGACACCUGAGUUCGGUUCCUAGCACCCAUGUCAGACACUUAAUAAUUGCCUGUAUAUUCAGCUCCAGGGGAUCCAACACCCUUUUGCAAACUCCGCAGUCACUUCAGUGACUUACAUGGACACAUACACACACACACACACACACAC